CUGAAAACGGUGAAGAGGAAGAGUAGGAUAGACCCAGUCAGCAGAGAGAGAAUGUCUAGGCUGCAAGCAUUCUUUGAUAUGGAUAUCAGAAAACCCCCUCGGAGUUGAAUCUGAGUAGUCUUAGGACAAAAGGAUUUACGGGUCGGCAACGUUACUGUCAAGAGUGGAUUGAAUCAAUUAGGGUGGAACCGCGGGAGCUAACUCUCGUCCCUUUG
rnacentral:ncRNA from 1 species